GGCUCAGGAUGAACGCUAGCGGCAGGCUUAACACAUGCAAGUCGAGGGGCAUCGGGAGUAGCAAUACUUGCCGGCGACCGGCGCAAGGGUGCGUAACGCGUGAGCAACAUGCCCGUAUCAGGGGGAUAAUCCAUGGAAACGUGGUCUAAUACCCCAUAGUAAUUAUGUAAGGCAUCUUAUAUAAUUUAAAGCUUUGGUGGAUACGGAUUGGCUCGCGUGACAUUAGCUAGAUGGUAAGGUAACGGCUUACCAUGGCUACGAUGUCUAGGGGUUCUGAGAGGAAGGUCCCCCACACUGGAACUGAGACACGGUCCAGACUCCUACGGGAGGCAGCAGUGAGGAAUAUUGGACAAUGGAUGGAAAUCUGAUCCAGCCAUGCCGCGUGCAAGGAAGACGGCCCUAUGGGUUGUAAACUGCUUUUGUAUGGGAGCAAUAAGGGCUACGCGUAGUCCGAUGAGAGUACCAUACGAAUAAGCACCGGCUAACUCCGUGCCAGCCGCCGC
rnacentral:rRNA from 1 species